AUUGAACGCUGGCGGCAGGCCUAACACAUGCAAGUCGAGCGGAUGAAGGGAGCUUGCUCCUGGAUUCAGCGGCGGACGGGUGAGUAAUGCCUAGGAAUCUGCCUGGUAGUGGGGGAUAACCUCCGGAAACGGGCGCUAAUACCGCAUACGUCCUGAGGGAGAAAGUGGGGGAUCUUCGGACCUCACGCUAUCAGAUGAGCCUAGGUCGGAUUAGCUAGUUGGUGGGGUAAAGGCCUACCAAGGCGACGAUCCGUAACUGGUCUGAGAGGAUGAUCAGUCACACUGGAACUGAGACACGGUCCAGACUCCUACGGGAGGCAGCAGUGGGGAAUAUUGGACAAUGGGCGAAAGCCUGAUCCAGCCAUGCCGCGUGUGUGAAGAAGGUCUUCGGAUUGUAAAGCACUUUAAGUUGGGAGGAAGGGCAGUAAGUUAAUACCUUGCUGUUUUGACGUUACCAACAGAAUAAGCACCGGCUAACUUCGUG
rnacentral:rRNA from 1 species